rfam:Dialister sp. CAG:357 genomic scaffold, scf119
GGACACAUCUCUGGAGAGUUCCGCUGAAAAGAUGCGGACGCCGAAGGUGCAAAGGGAUCUUUGAUCCCGAAUCUCUCAGGCAAAAGGACAGGGCUGGCAGC